rnacentral:rRNA from 1 species
UACGUAGGGUGCAAGCGUUGUCCGGAAUUAUUGGGCGUAAAGAGCGUGUAGGCGGCCAGGUAGGUCGGUUGUGAAAACUAGAGGCUCAACCUCUAGACGUCGACCGAAACCAUCUGGCUAGAGUCCGGAAGAGGAGAGUGGAAUUCCUGGUGUAGCGGUGAAAUGCGCAGAUAUCAGGAAGAACACCCGUGGCGAAAGCGGCUCUCUGGGACGGUACUGACGCUGAGACGCGAAAGCGUGGGGAGCGAACAGG